GAUGAACGCUGGCGGCGUGCCUAAUACAUGCAAGUCGAGCGAACGGACGAGAAGCUUGCUUCUCUGAUGUUAGCGGCGGACGGGUGAGUAACACGUGGAUAACCUACCUAUAAGACUGGGAUAACUUCGGGAAACCGUAGCUAAUACCGGAUAAUAUUUUGAACCGCAUGGUUCAAAAGUGAAAGACGGUCUUGCUGUCACUUAUAGAUGGAUCCGCGCUGCAUUAGCUAGUUGGUAAGGUAACGGCUUACCAAGGCAACGAUGCAUAGCCGACCUGAGAGGGGGAUCGGCCAAACUGGAAAUGAGAAACGGGCCAACUCCCUAGGGGGGGAAGGAGUAGGGAAUCUUCCGGAAGGGGGGAAAGCCUGACGGGGCAACGCCGGGGGAGUGAGGAAGGUCUUCGGAUUGUAAAACUCUUUUAUUAGGGAAAAAAAAAUGUGUAAGUAACGUUGCCAAUUUUGACGGGACCUAAACAGAAAGCCACGGCUAACUACGU
rnacentral:rRNA from 1 species